GAUGAACGCUGGCGGCGUGCUUAACACAUGCAAGUCGAACGAAGACAUCUGAGUGCUUGCACUUGGAUGGACUGAGUGGCGGACGGGUGAGUAACGCGUGGGUAACCUGCCUUAUACAGGGGGAUAACAGUUGGAAACGACUGCUAAUACCGCAUAAGCGCACGGUAUCGCAUGAUACAGUGUGAAAAACUCCGGUGGUAUAAGAUGGACCCGCGUCUGAUUAGCUUGUUGGUGAGGUAACGGCCCACCAAGGCGACGAUCAGUAGCCGGCCUGAGAGGGUGAACGGCCACAUUGGGACUGAGACACGGCCCAAACUCCUACGGGAGGCAGCAGUGGGGAAUAUUGCACAAUGGGGGAAACCCUGAUGCAGCGACGCCGCGUGAGUGAUGAAGUAUUCGGUAUGUAAACUCUAUCAGCAGGGAAGAUAAUGACGGUACCUGACUAAGAAGCACCGGCUAAAUACGUGCCAGCAGCCG
rnacentral:rRNA from 1 species